rnacentral:lncRNA from 1 species
CCCAGGGUUUUGCCAUCCCGACUUAGCGGGCUCUGCCAAAUCCCAAAUGCCAGAGCAUUGGUUACAUGGUGGGUCCAAUAAUGGGACCCUCAACUUUAAUUUUGUAGGAUAAUUAUUUUAUGACACCCAUACAAGUAUUUUUCUAGUUAGAUAGUUAAAUAAUAAUUAUUAUUUCUAAAAAAAUGAUGGUUUAUUUGUUUAAAUAUAUUUUAAUCUUAGAUAAGUUGUAAUAUUUUAGCAAACUAGCAUAUUCAUGUUUACACCGUGAUGGCUGGGACCAAGAUCGUGAAAUUUAACAUUUCCUUCCAGCUAACCCAUCUUUGAGAGCAUGGUGCCGAAAAUCUCAGCUUGAUAUUUGGCAUAUUCUCUUUGCUUGUCUUUUAGCUCCAUGUACACAAGUUUCACAUCUCUGGCAGUCCAAAACAAAUCAAAAAUAAAAUUAUAAAAAAAAAACUAAACAAUCAUUGUCCAUACAGGAUGUAAUUAAGGUCAAUAAUGAGUCUCUUACCUGUUAUUUGGGUCAAUGGUUAGAGCCCUCUUAAUAUCAGCCUCAGCUUUUUCAAGUUCAGAUGUUUUCAAGUAUGCUUGGGACCUUCUGUAGAGAGCUUUCACAUUGAGUGGCUCAAGUUCUAAGACCUGUCAGUCAAAAUGAAGCAAAGCGAUAUUUGUAUGCAUAAUAAAUGCAUAUUUUGAAUCAAUUAGAGGAAGCAAACCUUUGUGCAUAGACUCGAAGUCUCGGAGUAGUCUUCAAGUUUGAGUUUACAAGCUGCAUUGUUCAGAUAACAUGAUAAUCGAAGUCCAUUUGCUUGAUGCUUCUCAUCAUCAGUGAAAGAGUGAUGAAAUUCAAUAAUCUUUGCAGCCUGUAAUUUUUGUUGUUGACCAAGUACUUCAGUUCAGAAAAGAAGCCAACACUUGAUCACACUUCUCUUCACUCUAAAAGAAUUCAUUAGUUAACAGAUGCCUACUUGCCUUUUCAUAUUUCUUUGAGGCACGCCAGUAUUUCCCUGCCCUGAACAGCAAAUUUCCAUCGUGUUUUUUCCUUUCACAAGCUUCUAUUUUCUCAUGAGUGUCCAUCUUCCAAAAUGGCUUUUCCUGUAUUAAUUAAUUUGAAAUCAUGACACAGGUAUGUAGUAAUUAAUAGGCUGAUGGUCCUGGAAUCAUGUCUACUUCAUCGAAUUAGUACUAGAGCUUUUAGAGUAGGUGACCUUGGUGAAGUCAAUCAAUGUGACUUCAUAGUGAAGAACAGAAUCUGCAGAGACCAAUUCUGAAACUUCAUGGCUGCACAAAUACUCUGCACUAAUCGUCACCGUGGCUUGUUCUUCUUUUUUCAUUGUCAUGAUCGCCCUUUCCAAGCCCUCAUUUACAUUUUCUGAAGAGGAAAGUUAAAAUUAUUGUUCAUUUCAAUAAAAUUCAAUGGAGAAAUAGGAGCUAUGAACUACCUUCAAGAGUUGUAAACUCAAACGGUUCCUCGUUAGAUCCCCUUGUCUCAAAAACUGUUCCAUCUUCAAGUCUGCCAAUGUAUAUCACUAAGGAUACAGAAGUAAAAAUGAAAGUCCAACUUGAAUCUGAAAUUUGAAUAAGAUAAUACAAAAUGCAGAUACAUUUGUCUGUAAGACUGUACCUUUCACUAGGGAACCUUCGUUAGGGCGGUCAAAGCCUUGACCGGCCUUUUUAAUCUUCUUUAGAACUUUCUGAUCACCGGUGACAUCAACGACACUUUUCCAUGACAACAGCUCAAGUUGGAUGGUCAAAUUCGAGAAGGAUGAAACACCGCCUUCAAUGUUGGUAGCUUCAUAGCCAUCAUUUUCAAUGCCAUCUACAAAGAUGAAAUGAACCGUGAUUGAUUCAUUAUGUUAGCAAACACUGAAUUGAUACAAAUAAUGACAAUGUCAGUUUUCCAGUAAAGAUUUCUUACUGCUUUGGAUGGAACAAGUAACACCGACUUACAGGAGAACUUCACUGCCAAUUCUGCUUUUUCACCCCUUCUCAUUGUUCUUACUGCUUUGCUUAUUGCGGGACAAAGAUGACCUGAUCUUAUACACAUGAAUCAUACAUUAAGCUUCCCAAAGAUAUUAUGUAACAUCAAUUUACUGAGCAAGAUCAGCUUACCAUCAAAUACCCGAAAUUCUACACCUUCAUUAGAUUCAGAAACAAGUGCUCCAUUUUGAAGCCUUGCCUCAAACUCAACUACAAAAUUUAAAAAAAAAAAUUGAUUAUUGUCAUGAUGGGCCAUCAAACAUCCUGACUCGUCACAUAUGUGAAACUCCAACGAAAAAUUCUCAAAAAUGCGAAUUAGUAUUACCUAAAACUUCAUCAUUAUCUCUUGGAGUGGCCCAUCCUUCACCUUCCUUUAUUAUUUUCUUUAAGAUACCUCCAUCACCAGUUAUAUCCCUGAUGGUGCUCCAAGAUAGCAAUUCAAUAUCGAAUACUAGGCUUGAAUUUGAAGGAAUCAGCGGAGGAGAACCGGCUUCUCCAUAGGCUAACACCGAUGGUAUAAAGAAGAUUGCUCUCUCACCCUUCUUCAUAGUCGCAACACCUUCAUCCCAUCCUUUGAUUACUUCACCUGAAACCCAUGUUCCGUAAUAUAUAAUUCGGAUAUGUUUGAGAUUCAGAGGCUGUAAAAUCACUAGCUGUUAAAUAUAAGUACCUCUUCUGAGUUUUCCAGAAGAAAAUGGUGCAAUUUUACUUCAUAUUCAAAUAAAAUUUGAUUCAUGAAAAUGAAAUGUGAGAUUAAAUUACCUUGGCCUAAUUUGAAACAAAAGGGAGUUCCCGUAUCACGACUUGAAGCCAAACAUGCCCCACCAUCAAUAUGACCACUGAAAUGAACUGGACCACAUAAUUUACAUUAUAACUGAGGUUAAAAUAACCUUUCCUACCUCCCCUGAAAAACAGAGGAAAAGAGUAGUACCUUGGACUUCGUCUCCAAGAAGUGGAGUUUGCCAGGAAGUUCCUUUUCUGAGAAUUUGCUUUCUCAAGCCUUGCUUUCCUAUUUCUCUCUCAACUGAGCUUGGAGGUUUUGUUUCUGUUGCCGUUUCGAAAUGGGAUUUUAGGGAAGUGGUUGCCAUUGAAAUUCAAUGGACACAGUGUUUGCGCUCAAUCCUUCAGUUGAUGAUAAGCCGUUGGUGAUUUCCCUCCUUUUGUUUACUUUCAGUUAAGAAGGUUAUUCUGUUGGCACAAGCGGGCCAAAAAUCCAACGGAAAUGAACUUAACCCAACUGCUUAGACAGGCCCAGAUGGCCUCAUCACAACAGAUCCACUUGCCUGUCUUCUCCCCUCCCCACCUCAGUUUGCUUUCUUCCAAGUUGACCAAGACUGUGCAAAUUGUCUAAGAUUACAAAUGUUUAUAGGAUUAUUUGUCGUAUAAAUUACUGAUUAAAUUUGACGAGUGGUUUUAAUAGUAUUAUUCCUGACAAACCGUAGCUCAUUUUCUCUAUUCAUUUUGAAGGAUUGAGGAUGUUGUUCAUUUUUCUGACUGGUAGGGCAUAAGAGGCCUAUGAAUUUGUGGCGGGCUCACAUUAAAGGCACUAUAACUCUGUGGGCUAAUAUGUGAGCAAACACUACAUUGUGUCAGAAAUUAAAUUUUUUUUUUUAAAAAAAAAAAUAACCCUUGAAAUUGGAAUGAAUGAAAUAGAAGGAGAAAUUAUGCGUGACAUUGGCUGAACUGAACAAACUAAUUUUCUCGGAGACAUUUUAUUUGAAAAAAAAAAAAAUCCAGCAGGCUGAUGUUAAAUCGGUUCGCCCCAAAUUAACGGUGGGGUUCAUCUUAACUCCUUGGCCCAACUUUAAUCUUCAAUCUUGGGCUAAUCCAACCUACGAAGGAUUCACUCAAUUGAAUAAGAAGGCCCACUAGGGUGUCUCAUUCGGAAAGAUGAUCCAUUGCCUGGCAUACAAUUUAUUGACGGUGCAUUUCAAAUUCAAUAGAUGUGUUAUUAAGCAAAUACGAUAUAUAAAACUAGAUAACUUCCAAUAUGAAUCACUUUUGUCGCUCUGAGAGUACAUGUCAAUGUCACUGAAAAUAAAAUGCAAGUAAUUACUAUGAAUGGUCGAGAAAUCUUUCAGAUAAGGCCAUCAUCCCAUCAAUAUAUAAAUGAACCACAACAAAAGCAUAUUUAGUCAUACAUUUAGUUUCGUCCACAUAUAUUUAGAUACAUCUCUCACUGAGUAUGUGAUAUUUGCGUGCCAACGCAGCGGAUUUAUAAUUUUUAUUUUUUACUUUUUGAAAUCGUAAAACAAGGAGUUUGAAUCCAGUCAAUAAUAGCAUACUCCAAAGAAAUUAGAAAAGAAAUACUUUUCUUUUUCUAAUAAUUUAUUUUUUCAAUUUCAAAAAAAAAAUUAAUUUUUUCUAAUAUUAAAAUCAUUGGUAUAAGUGAGACACGUACGUUGAGCUAGAAGGUUUUUUUUUUUUUAGCCAUACAUUUUUUCUAAUAUUAAAAUCAUUGGUAUAAGUGAGACACGUAAGUUCAGGUAUGCAAUCAACUUUUGUCCUUUAAGAUUGCUUGAUUUCAAAAAGUUAAGUUAUUACAACAAGGAUCCACCUAUGAUGCAAUCAUAUAAUGAUGCAAUAUAUAAUGAUGCAAUCAACAAAAGCGUAUUUAGUCAUACAUAUAGUUUCGUCCACAUAUAUUUAGAUAUAUCUCUCACUAAGUAUGUGAUUUAUUAUUUUUAUUUUUUACUUUUUGAAAUUGUAAAACACGGAGUUUGAAUCCAGUCAAUAAUAGCAUAAUCCAAAUUAGAAAAUAAAUGCUUUUUUUUUCUAAUAAUUUAUUUUUCCUAAAGGGAUAUCUACUCUUUUUUGAAAUAUGAGUGGAGUAGAUAUCCCUCGAAUAUUAAAGAAAGGUAAAUGUGAAGUCAGUCUUCUGGUAAAUGUGAAGGCAGUCUUCUCCAACUCUCCAUUUCGAAAUGUGAGUGGAGUAAACAUCUCUUUAAUAUUAAAAAAAAUAAAAAUUUGGGCAAUAGUAAUUAUCUGAUUGUAAAUAUUAGUUGUAAAUCUCAUAUAAUAUGAGUUGUAAUUUGAGUAUUAGUCUCAUGUAAUUAAAAAAAAAAACAUUAAUAAUUUACCCUGAAUCUAAAUCUACAUAGUGGCUUUGUAUGCAAGAUAUAGCAUUGUAAAUUAAAAUAAAGUUGAGUUACAAGUGUCCAUGGCGCAAAUAAAGAAAAAAGAAGAAAGAGGGGGUGGGAGGGAAAGAUCAAGUGACACUAAAAUUAUUGCCCAACAAAAAAAAAGUAUUAAUAAUAGUGGGAGCUGAUACAAAUAUCGAUUUUGGUUGAAAUGGGUGUCUCCAGGCAACAAGACAAAGGAUCUUUCAAAAAAAAAUUUGCAGAUAUAGGUAUCUAAAGAGAAUUGUGUUUAUUAUGAGGAGAAUCGAUGUUGCAUCAUCAUUAUUUAUCUAAUAUUUUAGUGGUUUCCAUGCAACAUUACCAUAUGUUUCAAGUGGAAUUUAUGCUCGUCAUUAUCCAAACUAUAUUGCUUUUGUUACCAGCAGCGGCAGGGAGAUUUUGACACUCUCGAAAGAUAUAUAUGUAUAUAUGGAGAGAGAGUUAAGAAUUCAUGAUCAUAAUAAAGUAAGAGAUACGUUAAAAGAAAAAAAUUAAAGAAUGUAUAAUUCAUACGUAGUGUAUUUUGUCAUGUAUUAUAUUAAAAUUUAUUUAUUUUUUUAAUUUUUUAACUUUUUUUCUGAUUUUAAUAUAGUGAGGGAUCCCUAAUUGGAAGCUCAUAAUUAUUGGAUGUACUCUUUCAAGAUUAAAUAAUAUAUUUAUUUGAUACACACACAAGUAUGUAUGUAUGUAUCUUUCUUUCUUUUAAUUUGUCCUUGAUUUUAAUCUAAUAAAAAAUCCAUAAUUGAAAACUUACUUUAUAAUUGAAUAAAUAAAUAUAUUUGAGUUUUUAUUCAGAAUUAAAAUCUGGGAUAGAUUUACAAGUGUCAUGGCCUUUAAUUUUAAAUUGAAAAUUUUGUGUGGCUAUUGAAUUUAUCCUAUCCAAAUAUCUAAAAUUAGGAGUUCAAUUAUGUCAUGCCGUAUACCGUGCCAUUUGUUUUGUACUAAUGAUUCACACUAUUAGACAUUGAUGUUCCCCACUCUCAUUUUGUGCUAUGAUGAGGAUUAUUUAUUUUUGUGAACUAUUCUUUCAAUCAAUUUUGAUUAGUGGUUAGUGGUGUCGCCGUACAAGUUUCAAUUAUUGAAUACAAUGAAAUAGAAAUGAAAAAUGGGCAUUAUUACCAUUACUUGUAACUUAAUGUAUGACAUUUUUAUAGACAUGGUGACAGUUAAUGAACAUUUUAUAUCUGUAUGGAUUAAUUACCUUGAUCAACUAUAAAUCGACACCACUAAUUAAGUGAUUAACUUCCGAGAAAAUGAAAACAUUAGUUGGUGAAAUUGGAAAAGUUUCAAUGCUGUUGAACUGUGAAAUGUUGUGGCUCAAUGAUUUAUUCAAUCAUUUGUUAAUUAUAGUUGAUUACGGAAGCUACCACUGAGAAGAUAUGUAGCUUCUGUAAUCAACUAUAAUAAACUAUAAUUAACAAAUGAUUUAAGAUCAUAAACGCGUCUAUGAUCUUAAAUAUUUGUCACUUGUACAGCUAGACAUCAAUUAUGAUUAUUAGCUUGCCAAAGUGUGUCCAUGUUCUCCAUAGCUUCAUCAGGAACCAUCUCUAUGUUCUCCACAGCUUCAGGAAUCAUUUCUUUGUAUUUGCCCCAUAGCACGGCGUAGGUUCCAAUGACUAUCAGAACUGCCCCAAGAACACUGAAAAUUAAACCACAAGUAAAACAAAUGAGUUAGUGGCACUACUUUAUUUAUACGAUUAUUCGUUUUUAAUAACUAAAACUAAAAAAAAAAAAAAAUGGAUUUAAUUGAAUAAUUACCCUCCAACAUAUAUCUUUUCAGCAAGAAGGAAAGAGCCCAUAAUUGCAACAAUGAUCAUCAUCAGAUGGCUGAAAGCGGUUACAAAGACAGGCCCUCUUUUUUGCAUCACCAGCCCUUGAACAUAGUAAGCAAUGCCUGAUGACACAAUACCCUGUACAUAAAAUUAAAAAUAGAAAAAGAAAACGUAAAUAUCAAUUAUAAUAUAUAUUAAGUAAAUUAUUUAAAGCAUAAAAAGAGAGUGAAGAGGGAAAGAGAGGGAGAGAGAGAGAGAGAGACUCACAGCAUAAGCAGCAGCAAGAAGAUUCAUGUCCCAACCAAUUGUCCAAACAGAAGCUUUGUGUUCCAUCACAAAAGUAACAGCAAUGGAUUGUAAAGUUCCAAGAAAACACACAAUGGCUGUGAGUGAGAGGUGAGCUGGGUACCUCCUCAUUGUCACUGCCUGUAGUAAAAAUAAAUAAACCAACAAAUUAAAGUUAAUUAAAUUCAUGAACGUACCUACAAAAUCACAAGUCAUAUAAUAAUUAACUACUUUCAAGAAUCUUUAAUUAGAUAGUUAGCUACCUGAAGAAUAAAGAAUGAAGCCCAAGCAAGAGUAGCCAAGAUUAAAAGAAUUGAACCCUUAAGCCAGUCUUUGUCCGAAGAAGUAGUUGCUGCGGGGACAGGUGAGGAUGUAUGACCGUGGAUGUGCUGAGACCAAACCAAAUUAAUGACAUUACCUUUAUAUAAUGUCAUCAACAUGGCUCCAGCCACAGUCACUAUAGUUCCCACCAUUUUUGCUUGGCAUCUAAUUUUCUUUAUAUCCACUUUCUCCAUCCUUCAUUUUAAGAAAAGUACCAAAAAAAAAAAAUAUCAAUCUUUUUGUCCAUAUUAAUCUAAACGGCAUCAAUAUGAGAUAAUGACUAUGAUGACUUUAGUUACCUGCAAACAACUGACAUGACAAAUAUCAUUGCAGGUAGCAUGUUACUCAUGGCACAAGAGAAAGUCGGCGAUGUGAACUUUAAACCGGCGUAGUAUAAGUUUUGGUCAAUCACAGGCCUAUAUAAAGAUCAAAAAUGAAAAAUAAAUAACUAAACGAAUUAAUGUAUCUUAAGCUUGAUGGCAGUCUUCAUCAUGUACUGUGGAGAUAUGCAAAGAAACUAACCCAAGAAGGCCAAGAACAAAGAGUUGCAUGAAAAUGGGAAAAGUUAUCUUUGGCCUCACUUUCCUGUAUGUAUAAGGAAACCAACCAACCAAAAAAAAAAAUGAAGUAAUAUAUAUAUUUGAAACUGCAAUAGCUGAAAAAUUUUAAUAUCUCAAGCAAGAUGAUGGUAUUAAUUAAAGUACCUCUCAAGAAGGAGAGCGAAGGGGGCGACGACUGCGGUAGCAAAGGCAUGGCGAUACACAACAAGAACAUAGUUGCUCAUUCCUCUAUUGAGGGAAACCUUGGUGAUGAUGUUCAUUCCGGCAUAGCCAAAUUGCAGUGAUAUCAUAGCAAUAUAAGGCUUGCACCUUUGAAGAAAAUUGCUACAGCAUCCUUUUUCCUCCAUUUUUUUUGGGGGGGGGGGGGGGGGGCAAUUAAUUUGUGUUUGAGGAAAAUUAAGUAGAAAAUUAAACGAAGUGGUAAGUGUAUGAGGAAGAACACUUGAAUAUGCUUGUGUCUCCUAAGUGACAGUCACGUAUUUAUAGGGGUGCCGGCCUCUAUCUACACAAAAGAAAAUUAGUAAUUUUUUAUUUUUGUGUCAUGGUACGUACUUGUGAAAUUGAAUCUCUUAGUCUCACACGUGAGUGGUAGCACUGCCUGGAUGCCUGGAUCUGUUUGAAUAUUCUGAUUAGUGUUAGUGUUUCACGGGUGAUGUGGGUUCCACGUGGCAGUAUAUGAGAAGGAAUUAUAAUGUGAGAUAGGGUUUACUAUAACAUCAAUUAUACUGUGGUAGCACUGCCUUUGACUGAUUGUCGAUAAAUCAUGCUAACAAAACCCUAGCGUGUCAAUCCCUUAGCAAGAAACCUAAUGCACUUCAGAAAAAAAAAAAAAAAUAUAUAUAUAUAUAUAUAUAUAUAUAUAACAUCAAUAUCUUUUAUUUUACUUUUAAAUUAAUUGAAAGCAACAAUUCUUUGAUAAAGGCUUAUAUUAUAUAAUUGCAUGCAUAAGUGAUAGCACGGUUUCAAAAGUUUUGGUCAAAGAUUCAUCUUUCUCAUAAUGUAUAUUGGGAAUCUUUUGCACUGAUUAAUUCAAGUGGGUUCUUUAUAAGACCUUUGCUUUGCUUGUGAUCUCCAGCUAUCGAAAACAGAUCGAUGAUGAACAAGUUACACUUAUGCAUGCUUUUACUUUUGCCCUUUUCUUCUUUAACCAAAAGCCCUUUAAAAAAACAAAAAAUUAAAAGUGUUACAAGUCCCAAAAAGUUGGCUAAUUGAAAGAAGUUGUAUGGAUAGAAAUUUUACGCGUAUUGCACGCAAAAAAGAUCUUUAGACAAUAUUGGAACACACGUUAUAUCUUUUUUAUUCCGUUUUUAAGACAAAAACAUGCCUAAUUAUUUUGUGUCAUCUCCAAUUGUGUUAGUCGUAUCUUUUUAAGAUGGAGCUAAAGCAAAAGUUUUCACCAUUUUCAUUGUUCACUUUUUCAAUUGCCACAAUAGCGGCUACGAUUUUCUGCAUCCCCACUUUGACGUGCUGACCAAAUCGCGCACUAAGGAAAUAUGUCAAUUAAAUCAAUGUUCAAUUUCUGUUUUUAUGAACACAUGGAUACUUUUGGUUUGCUUGAUGAUGAAAGAAUAAAGGUUUAAUGAAUUUUAUAGCACAAAUUUACAUUUUGUGAAAUAUGGAUACUCAUCCUUUUUUCUUGCAGAUAGGUGUAUCUGUAUUUUUUCUUUUAUCGGUAUCUGCACUCGUUAAAAUCUGAAUUAUCAAGUAUAUUUUAUUUAGAUAAUUGAUACAAGAUUUUAAUAAAUAUAUAUGAUUCUUAACAUGAAUUCUUGCUAAAUUGGGCUUUGAUACAAGAUUUUAAAAAAUAUAUAUGAUUCUUAACAUGAAUUCUUAACAUGAUUCUUAGCAUGCUCCCAAAUGGAGGAGCAUUGGUUACAUGGUGGGUCCAAUAACGGGACCCUCAACUUUGAUUUUGUAGGAUAAGUAUAUGACACCCAUGCAAGUAUUUUUCUAGUUAGACAGUUAAAUAAUUACUAUUAUUUCUAUAAAAAAAGAUUAUUUAUCUGUUUAAACAUAUUUUGAUCUUAGAUAAGUUGUAAUAUUUUAGGAAACUAGCUUAUUCAUGUUGACACCGUGAUUGCUGGGACCAGGAUCGUGAAAUUUAACAUUUCCUUCCAGCUAACCCAUCUUUGAGAGCAUGCUACCGAAAAUCUCAGCUUGAUAUUUGGCAUAUUCU